rnacentral:rRNA from 1 species
AUUCCAGCUCCAAUAGCGUAUAUUUAAGUUGUUGCAGUUAAAAAGCUCGCAGUUGGAUUUCGGAUGGGAUUUGCCGGUCCGUCUUUGAGAUGUGUACUGGUAAGUCUUAUCUUGCUGUCGGGGACUAGCUCCUGGGCUUCACUGUCCGGGACCAGGAGCCGACGAAGUUACUUUGAGUAAAUUAGAGUGUUCAAAGCAAGCCUACGCUCUGAAUAUAUUAGCAUGGAAUAACACGAUAGGACUCUGGCUUAUCUUGUUGGUCUGUGAGACCAGAGUAAUGAUUAAGAGGGACAGUCGGGGACAUUCGUAUUUCAUUGUCAGAGGUGAAAUUCUUGGAUUUAUGAAAGACGAACUUCUGCGAAAGCAUUUGUCAAGGAUGUUUUCAUUA